AUUGAACGCUGGCGGCAGGCCUAACACAUGCAAGUCGAACGGUAACAGGAAGCAGCUUGCUGCUUUGCUGACGAGUGGCGGACGGGUGAGUAAUGUCUGGGAAACUGCCUGAUGGAGGGGGAUAACUACUGGAAACGGUAGCUAUUACCGCAUAACGUCGCAAGACCAAAGAGGGGGACCUUCUGGCCUCUUGCCAUCGGAUGUGCCCAGAUGGGAUUAGCUAGUAGGUGGGGUAACGGCUCACCUAGGCGACGAUCCCUAGCUGGUCUGAGAGGAUGACCAGCCACACUGGAACUGAGACACGGUCCAGACUCCUACGGGAGGCAGCAGUGGGGAAUAUUGGACAAUGGGCGCAAGCCUGAUGCAGCCAUGCCGCGUGUAUGAAGAAGGCCUUCGGGUUGUAAAGUACUUUCAGCGGGGAGGAAGGGAGUAAAGUUAAUACCUUUGCUCAUUGACGUUACCCGCAGAAGAAGCACCGGCUAACUCCGUG
rnacentral:rRNA from 1 species